CACGUAGGCACCAAGCGUUGUCCGGAUUUAUUGGGCGUAAAGAGCUCGUAGGCGGUUUGUCGCGUCGGCCGUGAAAUCUCCACGCUUAACGUGGAGCGUGCGGUCGAUACGGGCAGACUUGAGUUCGGUAGGGGAGACUGGAAUUCCUGGUGUAGCGGUGAAAUGCGCAGAUAUCAGGAGGAACACCGGUGGCGAAGGCGGGUCUCUGGGCCGAUACUGACGCUGAGGAGCGAAAGCGUGGGGAGCGAACAGG
rnacentral:rRNA from 1 species